rnacentral:snRNA from 1 species
CACACAGAUUGUAGGAUUCAUAC